AUGGCGAGCACCACCGUCGCCGCCAAACAACCAUCUUCGCCCAAUGCAGCAAAGUCGAAUGAUGGUUCCAGCAAAAAACAAAAGUGGUUCCAGCAAAAAACAAAGGAGGUUGCAAAAAAUCAUGGCAGCAACAGAGCAUCAUCUCUCUCAAUUUGUAGCAAAAUCGAAAGAAGGUUCGAGCAAAAAAAAAAGAAGUGGUUCCAGCAAAAAGAAUUGAUGCAGCAAAAUAAAAUCCAUGGUGGCCACCGCCGUUGCCGCUCACCACCACCGUCGCCGGUUGAAGCGAAUCCACCGGCCGGCGAAUCCACUUUCCGUUCCCCAGCACGGCACCUCAUCGGUGCCACAGGCAACGACCUCCCUCCCACUCCUCCCUUGUCGCGCACGGUCGGGGUCUCCUAA
rnacentral:rRNA from 1 species